rnacentral:rRNA from 18 species
CGUGCCUUUUGCAUAAUGAUCCGGCGAGUUACCGUCAAUGGCUCGAUUAAGGCCUUCCGGGCCGUAGUCUCAGCGAAAGCAAGUCUGAAUAGGGCGUUUUGUCAGUGGCGGUAGACGCGAAACCAGGUGAACUACCCAUGAGCAGGUUGAAGCGCGGGUAAGACUGCGUGGAGGACCGAACCCACCUAGGUUGAAAACUGGGGGGAUGACUUGUGGGGAGGAGUAAAAGUCUAAUCAAACCUGGAGAUAGCUCGUUCUCUCCGAAAUAGCUUUAGGGCUAGCCUCAAGUGAUGAUUAUUGGAGGUAGAGCACUGUUUGGACGAGGGGCCCCUCUCGGGUUACCGAAUUCAGACAAACUCCGAAUGCCAAUUAAUUUAACUUGGGAGUCAGAACAUGGGUGAUAAGGUCCGUGUUCGAAAGGGAAACAGCCCAGACCACCAGCUAAGGUCCCAAAAUAUAUGUUAAGUGGAAAAGG